AGCGUGGGCCUUGGUUGCAGCAAUAUCUCAUACCAGGACUAUUGCUCAGCCUUAAAAGGACACAAAUUUCUUUUCUUUUCUUUUCUUUUCUUUUCUUUUCUUUUCUUUUCUUUUCUUUUCUUUUCUUUUCUUUCCUUCCCUUUCCUUUCUUUUUUUUCCUUUCAGCUAUACCAGUGGCGUGUGGAUAUUCCUGGACCAGGGACUGAACCGAGCCACAGCUGCUACCCAUGCUGCAGCUGCGACAUCAGUGGAUCCUUAACCCACUGCACCAAGCCAGGGGUGGAACCUGCGCCUCUCCAGCGACCUGAGGUCCACCCGUGUCGCUGCAAAUGUCCUGUCUCACAAGAAGGGACCAAGAGCCGACCGUGCUUCCCCACGGAUGAACCCGAGGACACGUGCACAGCGAAGUCAGUCCCUGGGCGUCGUCUGGUUCCACUUCCAGGAGGUCCCUUGAGCCGCCAAAUCCACAGAGACGGAACGGAGAGGGCGGGUCUGGGGGCUGGGGAGCCCGUGCUUCGUGGGGACAGAGACGCAGCCUUCAGGGGAAGAGCCCUGGCGAGGACGGGGGUGACGCUUGUGUCCCCUGAAAGAAAUCGAUGACGCUGAGCGACGCGGGCUGCUGGUUCAGCGGUUAAGAGGGCAGAGUUUAUGUUAUGUGCAUUUUACCCCCAAAUUGAAAAAAUCCUGAAUGUAACGUUUAUGCAAAUAAGAAACGUGAAACUCAAGCUCUUUCCCACGGCUUGAGCCUGGCGCACGCGCCCUCCUCUGUCCUUAACCCCGCGGCCAUCAGCAUUUUAAGCGGGGCGUCUGAUUAUUAUUUGGUCCUAUGUGUAAACAUACUUAAACUUCUUUAAACAUUUUAAGCUGAAAUUACAACAAUUUAAAAAUUC